rnacentral:rRNA from 1 species
GAUGAACGCUGGCGGCGUGCUUAACACAUGCAAGUCGAACGGAAAGGCUCCUGCUUGCAGGGGUACUCGAGUGGCGAACGGGUGAGUAACACGUGGGUGAUCUGCCCUGCACUUUGGGAUAAGUCUGGGAAACUGGGUCUAAUACCGGAUAGGACGAUGGUUUGGAUGCCAUUGUGGAAAGUUUUUUCGGUGUGGGAUGAGCUCGCGGCCUAUCAGCUUGUUGGUGGGGUAAUGGCCUACCAAGGCGUCGACGGGUAGCCGGCCUGAGAGGGUGUACGGCCACAUUGGGACUGAGAUACGGCCCAGACUCCUACGGGAGGCAGCAGUGGGGAAUAUUGCACAAUGGGCGCAAGCCUGAUGCAGCGACGCCGCGUGGGGGAUGACGGCCUUCGGGUUGUAAACUCCUUUCGCUAGGGACGAAGCGCGAGUGACGGUACCUGGUGAAGAAGCACCGGCUAACUACGUG